AUUGAACGCUGGCGGCAUGCCUUACACAUGCAAGUCGAACGGCAGCACGGGAGCAAUCCUGGUGGCGAGUGGCGAACGGGCGAGUAACGCAUCGGAACGUGCCCAGUCGGGGGGGAUAGCCCGGCGAAAGCCGGAUUAAUACCGCAUACGACCCGUGGGUGAAAGCGGGGGACCUUUCGGGGCCUCGCGCGAUUGGAGCGGCCAGUGUCAGAUUAGGUAGUUGGUGGGGUAAAGGCCCACCAAGCCGACGAUCUGUAGCUGGUCUGAGAGGACGACCAGCCACACUGGGACUGAGACACGGCCCAGACUCCUACGGGAGGCAGCAGUGGGGAAUUUUGGACAAUGGGCGCAAGCCUGAUCCAGCCAUGCCGCGUGCGGGAAGAAGGCCUUCGGGUUGUAAACCGCUUUUGUCGGGGAAGAAAUACGCCGGGCGAAUAACCUGGCGGGAUGACGGUACCCGAAGAAUAAGCACCGGCUAACUACGUGCCAGCAGCAGCCGCGGUAA
rnacentral:rRNA from 1 species